CUCAUUGGGGAUUCUGGGGUUAUAAUACAGGAAUUGUGGGUAAGUACAGUCACUUCUGCUCCAUGAAAGUGAGGUCAUCAUUCGUUUCAGGAAGUUGAGUGAGGCCUGAGACAGCAAUGUUUCGUUUAGCCUGGCGGUGGCCCUCCUUGUCUUCAAGAAGAGCAUCCGUGGCUAGCAGUGGAAGAUGGGGUUGGGCCCCAGGUGAGUGACCCUUUGUCGAGUUUGCAGAAUUUGGUCUUGGCGGGUUGAGGAUCUCUUGUAUUUUGUGCGCUCUGUUCCUGCUCCAGGACUGACCAGGCAGUUCUGCCACCUUCUAGGAGUGUGAAAUUGGGAAGUAAUUCAAAAUGUAUGUGCCUAGCAUUCCUUUUAUGUAACAUGAGGGGAAUAGAAGUACCAAACCGAUGCAGUUCAGUGGAGAAUUAAAUGAGAUAGUCACAAGUAAAAGGUGGUAAGUGUGGUUCAUUUUAUUAAUUUUCUUUUAAUUUCCCGAGAAGCCCCAGUUACCUGAAAGCUUCUGUGAGCCUGGGAAGGGAUCAGAGUUCCACCUGCAGUGCUAUUUUGCCCCUUCUUUCUGAUCCUUACAGGAAGCAGGACGAUUCCUGGAUUCCCUUUUUAAAAAAAUGGUCACAGGAAUGAGGAAAGAAUGACUCUGGCUCCUAGCAGCAGAAUCUUAACUGAGUAUGACUUAGCAUCCUUCUUCUUGCUGUGUCAUCUCUCUUCUCAGGGCAGAAGAUAUUUACUAAUUAGCACAUUCUGCUAGCACAUCUGUGGGAAAAGAGACGCGAUCUUACUGCAUUGACCAG
rnacentral:lncRNA from 1 species